GGAGCUGUGGUUCCCAUCUCCAUGAUACACACUGCUCGCUGCCCAAUGGUCACAGAGAAACGCACACACCAGGAAUCUCACGGUAAGCGAAACAUGACAAGUGUGAUCAGUGCUGCAAAGAGAAAUCAUGGUGCCAUGCAGCUCUUUCAGAAGGUCCCUGGAAAGGGGACCUGAAACUCUGUGAUCCAAGGAAAUAAUUAGGCAGAAGGGAAGGAAGAGUUCACCGAGCAAAGCUGCGGCAGAGGCAGCCUGGUAAGGAAGGCGAGAGAUGGUACAGCUGCUGCAGGUCUUAGUGGAUGGCUAUGGAGACCGACAACAAGGAGAUAAAAGUGGAGAUGGGGGCUUAAAAUCCUGGCACGGCAACCGUUUCUCCUACAAAAUACUUUCCUUGAGCUGACUGACACAGAAACUUCAAGAGAGAAAGAACCGUGCUCCAUUCUGAAGGUUUUCCUUUGCUUUGCCUCUGCUCCAUCCCCUGAGCUCAGAAAGCUGCUUCAGAAGCCUCACCGUGGUUGUCUGCGCCUGCACAGCAAUGUGCAAUGGUUCCAUCCACUCAGCGGUAAGGAGAGUUUCAAAAGCCCUUUGUGUCCCCAUUGGUCAUUUGUCUCCAUCAGACGCAACAGGAAAUUCAACAGCACCUCCAUUGGCCUAGGAUACCCUCCCAAAAGCCCUGAACUCUCCAUCUGUCAAAGAAAGGAAGCCCUGCCUAGGGAAGUUCUCCCCACCAGUGGGCCCCCGGGGGCAGCAUGGAAAAUGCCAAGCUCACUUCACUUUCUAAGCAUGUGGCAAGGACUUUGGCGUCACUUCCCUGCCAGCUGGGUGUGUGGUGAACAAGAGCGAAGGGAGCAGAAAUGAUCUAACAAGUUAGAGCG
rnacentral:lncRNA from 1 species